GACGCUAAAGCAUUUUCCCCCUGCAGAGCAUGUUGCAACAUUUAUCAGUCACACUGAGAAUCCAGAAGAUGAAGGAAAAGGUCACGUCGUUCGCUGAGAACUUACCGAAGUUGAACUCCCUCACUUUCCGCUUCCCAGCAUUGGCGGGUUCCGGGACUGGUGGCUGCGGUAGCUCAUUGGCCUUUGGUCUCUUAGACGGUGGAGAAUAAUCAUCAUCUUGAAAAAGAAAAUGGUCAUUACUGGAAGAACCGUCUUACAGUUACAGUCACCUCCUGGUCAAUUCCCAACAUUCAAAAGCUAAAGAAACAGGCUCAGAGGAUGUUAUCUGAUUGGAUUAUGUUGUAUCUCUGGAGAGCACAGCUGAGAUCAGACUGUGUGUGUGUAACUCCACUAGACUACGAGGGUGCUUCUCAUAAAGAGAUCCUAAAAAACCUACAGUACCAGCUGCAGUAAGUGUGCCACGUGUGGUCAUGGUUGCAAGAUCAUAGUUCUCGGGGUGUUUAAAGGCAACACCUUCCGGAAGCCCCUGCACUACCACAGCCGACUGGUCUCGCAGCAUCUUCUCAUAUGGUACAGGUACCACUGUGGAUUUGCCUAAAGCUUUCCCUGGGGGAGAUGAAAAGCGGAUGAACAUCAUUCAAUGAAUGGUAAGAUUACAAAAUGAAAUCAUCGCUAGCUUAUUGUGGCUUAAUAAGGGCAUCCACGAUUUUUUAUAAUAUAUGAUUUCAAAAUUAAUUAAUACUACAGCAUUCUAUCUCCCCAUGUCAGCA
rnacentral:antisense_RNA from 1 species